GUUAUUAAUCAUCAACUUAUUUUUACUGCAUUUUCCUCUUUAUUUAUAUUUUUCUUUUAAUUUAGCAUUUUUAUUUUUUAUAUGCGGAAAUCAUCUUGCUCCUUUUAUGCUUAAGGUCUAUCAAUGAUGUCAGUAUGUUUUUUUUUUCAUGAUGAUCCAAUUUAACAAAUAAUUUAUUGUUACUUCUCUUUUUUUUCACCAUAAUCUCUAAUAUGUAUCUCAUGUUUUUUAAGAUUCAUGACAUCUUUAUCUACAUACACAUAUUGAGAUUACUUUUAUGACAAUUUUUUUUUAAAUACGUCAUUGAAUAUUUUCUCUUAAAUUUUGUAUAUUUUUGGUCGUUAUUUUUAAUAGAAUAUGCUUAUAUAUUUUGUCUAAUUUCAUGGAUGAAUUAAUAUAAUAUGUCUCAAAUAGUUUUAAAUAAAAGACAAAAAGAAGAAUUUAUUUGCAGGAUUAAAACAUUCUUGAACUCAACCAAGUAAUUCUUGAAAAUUUUAGUCGAGCAUUUAUCAUUUUAAAUGCGUAUUAUCAUUCUCAUAUUAUUAUUUUAUUAAAGUAAGUGUUAAUUUUAUUUUAUCUAUUUUUAUUUGUUAUUUUAUGGUUAUCAAUUUAUUUAAUUCGAUCAACACAAAUUUAUCAUGAAUUUCUAAUCAAAUUUAAAAAAAUUGAGUUAGCUUAAAAAUAAAAUAUAAUAUGCUCCCUUCUCUUAUUUAAUCUCCUAAAUCAUUGUCAAUUCACAAAAAAAAUUGAAAUGUCAUAACUUUUGUUUGAGGUGGGUUAAACAUUCAUAUGUUUGCAAUAUUUAUUUUGGCUUUAUUUUUUUUUGUGUGUGCAGGUGGAUUGUAGUAAGAGAAUCACGUUUGAAAAAAUUUAACUAAUUUUAAAUUUAAUUUUUAUACACACAUAGUUUUUUUUAAGAAAAAAUAAUUAAUUUGAAAAAUAAAACUGUCAAAUGAUAGAAGUGCGAACAUUCUAUUUAAAUUUUGAGUUUAAGUUAAAAAAUAUGUAACUAAGAGAAUUCGAAAUUUUUUAUUAACAUAGACUACAAACUAACUCCCGUAAUUCUACUUAAAAAAGGACGAAAAAUUACGACAUGAUUAAAUGGUUACUUUUUGAAUCUUUCAUUUAUUUUGGAAUCUUCUUCUAAUUUAUAUUUCAUUUUUAUGUUGUGUAUAACAAACCUUAUCUAUUCUAAUUUUUAUAUUUUGAGGUAAGAGAGAAGAACACUUAACUGGUGAUGUGUGUAACACAAAAAAAUAAUUUAACUCAGUUAAGUAAUUAAAAUACAAUAGAGGAUUUGAAUUAAUAUUGAAAAUGUAAUGGAGUAAUUAGAUAAUACAUAUAUUGUUAUUUAUAAAUUUUAAAUGAACGAUAUAGGAUAAGAGUAAAAAAAAAAAACGCUAAAACAAUCAAUGUUAAUAAUUUGAAAUCCUUAAAUUGUACACAAUAUAAUAAAAAAAAUAUAAAUCAUAAAAGAUUUUUCACAAGUAUGUGAUUAUUUUUACUCAUAUAGAUUUAGUUAGAAGUGGAGUAAAAUGAUUUUGGG
rnacentral:lncRNA from 1 species